rnacentral:rRNA from 1 species
UAGGGAAUCUUCCGCAAUGGGCGAAAGCCUGACGGAGCAACGCCGCGUGAGUGAUGAAGGUCUUCGGAUCGUAAAACUCUGUUAUUAGGGAAGAAUAAAUGUGUAAGUAACUAUGCACGUCUUGACGGUACCUAAUCAGAAAGCCACGGCUAACUACGUGCCAGCAGCCGCGGUAAUACGUAGGUGGCAAGCGUUAUCCGGAAUUAUUGGGCGUAAAGCGCGCGUAGGCGGUUUUUUAAGUCUGAUGUGAAAGCCCACGGCUCAACCGUGGAGGGUCAUUGGAAACUGGAAAACUUGAGUGCAGAAGAGGAAAGUGGAAUUCCAUGUGUAGCGGUGAAAUGCGCAGAGAUAUGGAGGAACACCAGUGGAGAAGGCGACUUUCUGGUCUGUAACUGACGCUGAUGUGCGAAAGCGUGGGAAUCAAACAGG